CACUGUGUCACUCAGGUGGGAGUGCAGUGCCAUGAUCAUAGCCCACUGCUGCCUUGAUCUCCUGAGCUUAAGCGAUCCUCCCGGCCUCAGCCUCCAGAGUAGCUGGAACUACAGCUACUUGGAGUAUGAUGGGAGAGCCUGGUUUCUAAGGUAACCACAGACAGGAAGGUAGCAAGCUGGGGACGCUGAAGGGCACACCUGGAAGGUGACCCUGCAAACAAUGCAGACCUCUCACUGUGAGUAAAGCACCCUAGAAGGAGAAUGACAGUAACCUGGAGUUCAUCUCUUUAAAAGAAACACCAGUCAGGGAUGGAGAUGUCUGCUCAUGGAUGAGAAGUUGCUUCUCUAGAAUUCACAUCGUGAACCAUUCAAGGUUUUUCAUCACUGCUCUCCGUCAGCUAUUCAAUCAAGCAUUGAGUUUCUAGAAUCUCUCCCAGAAAUAAAAGCUGAC
rnacentral:lncRNA from 10 species